CCUGAAUUAUUCAAAUACCCAAGAAUUCGAGAGAACAAUUUCUCUUUUCUCGUAACUUGAAUUAAAAUAUUUUCAACUUUGUUAUUUAGUUCAAAUCAAUGUUUCUCAAUUCUUUGUUAGUUAUUUAGUUCAAUCAAUGUUUCGAAAUAUUCUCAAUUUUUCGUGUUUAAAGUCUUAGUUUAGUGUAGUUUUUAUCGACGAUUUUUGGAAUGGAUUCGAAUAAAGGCCAAGGACGAGGACGUCGUGUAAUGAAAUGCACACAGGAUCGUUGGCAAUUGUUGUUCAAUGGAUUUCUCAGCUGCCUCGAGGUGGAUAACGAUUGGGCGAGACUCACGCACUUUGAAUUCGUUUGCAAUUGAGGUGACGGAAGGAUUCCCAUCAACAUUCAUGUAACUCAAUAGCAUCUGUCCUCGUUGUUGUGUUGUGUUGUGUUGUGUUGUGUGUCCUUGUUGUGGUUAAUGCCCAGCAACAAAAAAUAUAUAAUACAAACGAGUUGUAGGUCUUGGAUAUCAAAUACACUGAACAAGUGGUCGAUACUCUUUCUGGGAACUUUCUGUUACUUUUGUUA